GGAGGGCACAGCACAGUGGUAGAGUGCGUGCUUAGCAUGCACAAGGUCCUGGGUUCAAUCCCGAGGGCCUCCA
rnacentral:tRNA from 1 species